GACCGCUUCGGUGGCCUAGUAGGUUGAGUGUCCUCCUCGGAUGGGAGAGGUCGUGGGUUCAAACCCCGGAUGAGUCA